rnacentral:lncRNA from 10 species
AAAAAGGCAUCAGAGUUGUCGGGGAGCAGGCUUACUCUCGAGAUUCUCCCUGCUGACCUGAUGAAGUAAGCAGCCUUGUCGGGAAAGCCUACAUGGCAAGGAACUGCAAAUGGCCUCUAGGAACUGUGAGUGGCCUUUAGGAGCUGAAGUUGGCCUCCAAUCAGCAAGAAGCCAGGGCACUUAGUCCUACUGCAGCAAGGAAAUACAUUCUGCCAACCAUCUGAAUGAGCUUGGAAGUGGAUUCUUCCCAAGCCAAGCCUCCAUAUAAGAAUGCAGCCCACCUGACACAUUCAUAACAGCUGAGCAGAGGACCCAAUUAAACCGUGCCUGGACUCUUCAUCCACAGAAACUUCGAGAUAAUCAAUGCAUGUUGCGUUAAGCCAUGACGUUUGUGAUAAUUCGUUAUGCAGCAAUAAAUGACUAACACACUCCUUUACACAGCUCUAGUCAGCUUUUCUUUAUGUGCAGCCAAACUGAUACAUAGUUGGUGGAUACACAGAUGAUCAUCUAGGGAGACCUCCCAAAAUGGGAGGAACG